rnacentral:rRNA from 1 species
AAACUAACAAGGAUUCCCCUAGUAACUGCGAGUGAAGCGGGAAAAGCUCAAAUUUAAAAUCUGGCGGUCUUCGGCCGUCCGAGUUGUAAUCUGGAGAAGCGUUUUCCGCGCCGGACCGUGUACAAGUCUCUUGGAACAGAGCGUCAUAGAGGGUGAGAAUCCCGUCUUUGACACGGACUACCGGUGCUAUGUGAUGCGCUCUCGAUGAGUCGAGUUGUUUGGGAAUGCAGCUCAAAAUGGGUGGUAAAUUCCAUCUAAAGCUAAAUAUUGGCGAGAGACCGAUAGCGAACAAGUACCGUGAGGGAAAGAUGAAAAGCACUUUGGAAAGAGAGUUAAACAGUACGUGAAAUUGCUGAAAGGGAAACGAUUGAAGUCAGUCGCGUGUGCUAGAACUCAGCCUUGCUUUUGCUUGGUGCAUUUUCUAGUGUACGGGCCAGCAUCAGUUUUGGCCGCCGGAAAAAGGCCUUGGGAAUGUGGCACCUUCGGGUGUGUUAUAGCCCUUGGUUGUAUACGGUGGCUGGGACUGAGGAACAUAGCAUGCCUUUACGGCGGGGCUUCGGCCACCUUCAUGCUUUGGAUGCUGGCGUAAUGGCUUUAAACGACC